rnacentral:siRNA from 1 species
GGAUGGAUGUCUGAGCGGUUGA